rnacentral:ncRNA from 1 species
GUGCUGUAUGAAAGGGGAGAAAGUUAGCCCUCCCUUUGAUAAGGAUGGAAGAGGUCUCAGUGAUCUUUACUACAUGCAUAUGGUUAAGGGACUGCCACUUACUUUACGGCACCUAACCAAGUUCCUCC